CCGACUCUAAAGUCCACACUCAAGACACUGAACUUUGCUGCUGGCUCGCCAGCCCCUUGUGCCGCAGUAGUAAGACACCCGCGCUUGCAUUUCCCGGCCGCAGGCGCCUUUGUGGCAUGUAGGCAUCAAAAGCAAUAUCGUCCCCAAUCAGGCACUCUGGACCUGAGCACAGCUCCUGGGGCAGCCCUCCCGAAGGCUUUUGUUCCUAGCGGUCGGGGCCCCCUGACACUACCCAGCACCUGUCCCCGCCAGCAGGGGGGACAGCAGCUACUCCCCAAGAAAACACAGCAGGGCACAGCCAGGAUCCCGCACCGUGACAGCUCCCCUCGCACGCCUGGCAGCCAGAAAAUCGGCCGCAGCAGCUAAGUCCAAGCCGUCAUCCCAUGAGCCACCCGAGGCUGGUGCAGGUCCGGAGAGCCACGCAGGACACCCGGACUCACCAGCUGCAGAGCGCAGAGCGCAAGAAGUGUGCAAGCUUGCAGAUCCCGCCCCAACGGGAUCUUGUCUCGGAUACCCCUGGUCCUUGCAGCCCUUAGGGGCUUCAAGCGGUCCGGAGAGGAGGCGCGAGACCCCUUCUUAAAGCGGCGAUGACAGGGCUUUCCGGCAGCAUAGAGCAGCUCAGGGCUGAACAGUGGCCACAAGACAGACUUGAUCUGUCAACGAGUCUGUCCCAGAAUGCUCAUAAAAGAAUAAUCAGCAACUGUGUCUACCCC
rnacentral:lncRNA from 1 species